AGAGAUCAGCUACGAGUGACAGAAAGGAGGGAAAACGUCAUGCAUUCAAAUGGCGUUGGAGAAAAACAACAAAAGCGUUCUGCAGAGUACCCGGCCAUUAUCGUAAACGAGAUGGCCGCGGCGCUCCUCGCGGAUCUUCAUCACAUGCACACGAAUGGAGAGGCGACAGUGCGAUGGGACCCGAAGCCAAACUCUUUACUUGAAUGACCCAGCAACUAAGCAGAACUACGUUCCUCGUCAAGGAAAUCCAACCAGAACUGGACUCGCGGGACCAAAUGGGGGGACUGCCGAGUCCUCCGGGAUGCGACAUCCCCAGCAGGAGAAGUGAGGAGGAAGAAGAGGAGAAGGAGGAGGAAGAGGAGUCCCGUCAUCGAGGGACGAUGCUGCGCCGCCCCAGAAAGUCCCCCCGCUCAAGUAUGCGUGGUUUUUGUCUUCAUUGUCAUCACCGCUACCGUGCCAUGUCCUAGACUGACCAAAGUCGGGUCACGUGGGCUUGGAUGUGGAGAACAGGGAGUCCGGGAUGCCUCUUCUAUGCUGUACUGGACCUGCCCAGUUCCUCCCUGAUGGCUGAAGAAACACGAGAAGACACCAAUGACUGCAAACUCCUGUGCAGGUUCUGCAUUUGUUGUGUUAUUUUGCACGACUGACU